AGUAAUUGAGCCUCUCGGCAUGGGUACAGAGGCUGCGGAGGGAGACCGGAGUUGCGGCGGCGGCUCCCAGUUACUCCCGGUCUCCGCGCUCUGCGCCCCUCCGAGCCUUGGUCUCUCCGCGGCGUCUCAAUUCUGCUCGGCCUUCCGCGCCGGCGUUGCUGAUGGAGAGAGCGGUCUGGCGUGCGAGUGGGGGACGGAGGGAUACGUGGGGCGAUCGGGAAUUGCAUGUGGAUGUGGUUCUACCCAGGGCACUGAGUGGUCCUGCCCAGGUGGUAUUUUUCUCUGGCCAUUGGCACAAAGCAUCGAUCACACCUUCCCUGGAUCUUCGGCCAUCAGACACCUGCUCACCACCCACAGGGAGAGGAUCGAUGGAGUUACUGGAGACAAGGGGUGCUGGUCUCGCCUUCUCUGAUGUCGCCCAGAAUAUUCCAGCCUUAAUGAGACAACCCUAGAAAGACUGUUUCCACUUUUCUUAGCAGAGCUACAGGGAAUUUUCCAUAAUGAUUAUGAGAAAACCCCAAGCGUGAGAACAGGCAGGGCAUGUGAGCUUGACUUCCUGCUGCUGAUGACUCCCAGUGGUAUUUUCCGCUCUGCCCGCUCCCCUGAGUGCUAGACUAGUAUGUCCAGCUGUCCGCGUGUCCUCUCCGAUUGCGGGCUUAGAAGGCGUCUCAACCUAACAAAGCAGAACCUCGACUGGGCCACCAAUCGGCUCCUCUUGCAGGGGCACCAUUUCAGCCACAGGCGCUGCCCCUCUCUAAGUUGCUCAGGCCAAAGACCCACAUGGGCCCUUUCCUUUCCUCACCCCCCACAUCCAUUCUGCCCCUCAUCCGAUUGCUCCACCUUCCAAAGUAUCCAGAACCCAGUGAAUCACUCACCCCCUUCUGCCCUCCAUCCUGGUCCAUGGCCCCACCAUCUCUUGCCUGGACGCUGCCCUGGACCUGUUCUCCUUGUUCCUCCCCAUUCUUCACACUCCGAGGCCAAGAGUGAUCUUUGGAAGAGAGAGGCCUGACUGUAUCACUCCUCAGCUCAGACUCUUCCUGUGGCUUCUCCUGGCACUCAGAACUGAACUCAGACUCCUCCUGUGACC
ensembl:lncRNA